rnacentral:rRNA from 1 species
AGUCGAGCGGUGAAUCCUUCGGGAUGGAUUAGCGGCGGACGGCUGAGUAACACGUGGGUAACCUGCCUCAAAGAGGGGAAUAGCCUUCCGAAAGGAAGAUUAAUACCGCAUAAUAUGUUUUGGUCGCAUGAUCGAAACAUCAAAGGAGCAAUCCGCUUUGAGAUGGACCCGCGGCGCAUUAGCUAGUUGGUGAGGUAACGGCUCACCAAGGCGACGAUGCGUAGCCGACCUGAGAGGGUGAUCGGCCACAUUGGAACUGAGACACGGUCCAGACUCCUACGGGAGGCAGCAGUGGGGAAUAUUGCGCAAUGGGGGAAACCCUGACGCAGCAACGCCGCGUGAAUGAUGAAGGCCUUCGGGUUGUAAAGUUCUGUCUUCUGGGACGAUAAUGACGGUACCAGAGGAGGAAGCCACGGCUAACUACGUGCCAGCGGCCGCGGUAAUACGUAGGUGGCAAGCGUUGUCCGGAUUUACUGGGCGUAAAGGAUGCGUAGGCGGAUAUUUAAGUCAGAUGUGAAAUACCCGAGCUUAACUUGGGUGCUGCAUUUGAAGCUGGGUGU